CUUUCAUCGUCCUCGCUGACGCAGACUCGUCCCUGUUUCUCUGAAACGAACCAAACAGCCACCGCAGAUCCGAGCACUCUUCCGUCCUCCCGGGCCACGGCGAUCACCGCCGUCGCGGCGCCACCCAUAUCCACAGCAGAGCCACUCGCCCGGUAGCUUCACCUCGGCCGCGCGUGGGGCGGCCAUGGAGGACUACCCGGAGGAGCUGCGGACGCCGCCGGUGUCACUCGUGUCCAUCGUGGGGUGCCCAGAGCUGCACCCCUCGAUCUCGGCGGCACUCAGCUCCCAGCAACCGCCCAUGAACACACUGGCUCUCCCGGACUUCGCCAAGGCCUCCAUCCUGGCCCGCAGCGGUAAGCCCCGCGACCCUCUUGCACCGCCGCAACCCCCCGCGGGAAUCCUCAAGAAGGACUGGCUCCUUAAGCAUCGCACCCGCGUCCCGGCCGCUGUCGCUGCGCUGUUCCGUGCCGACCAGGUCUCCGGCGACCCCGCCCAGUGGCUCCAGGCCUGCUCCGAUCUCGAAAACCUCAAGUCUGCAAUUCAGGGGAAAAACACUAAAUUAGUGGUGGUCCUUGUGCAGGCUCAAGCUAGUGAUGAGCUGAGUGAGGAUGUAACUGUUGCCUUGAGGAAACGUGCAGAAAUCGAUUCCAAGAACUUGGUUGUGUUGAUUGAGCACGAUGAAGCAGAAUGGAACAGAUCUCUGAACAAAUUGAAGAAUGUGUUUGCGGAGUUAUGUGCAGCAUUCUAUAAAGAGGAAGGGCGAAGGAUAAAGGCUCGCAUUGAGAAAAGAAACUUUGCUUCUGUCGAGCUGAGCAUCCGGUACUGCUUCAAGGUUGCUAUUUAUGCGGAGUUUAGAAGGGAUUGGCCAGAAGCAUUGAAGUUCUAUGAGGAAGGUGUUCGAGUUUUGCGCGAGAUGAUUGGAACUUCAACAAGGUUGCCUCCAACCCAACGCCUAGUUGAGAUAAAAGCAGUUGCUGAGCAAUUUCACUUUAAGAUAUCAACCUUGCUACUUCAUGCUGGGAAAGUGGUAGAAGCAAUCACAUGGUUCCGUAAGCAUAUCAGAAGCUAUGAACGGGUUGUUGGAACACCAGAAGUUGCUUUUCUUCACUGGGAAUGGUUUAGCAGGCAGUUCCUUGUCUUUGGUGAGCUGAUAGAAACAACAUCUACAACUAUUCCAGAUACAUUAUCUCCUCGAUUUGGCACUGCGGAUAAUGCAUUGACCGAGUGGGAAUUUCAGCCAGCAUACUACUAUCAGCUAGCAGCAACUUACUUGAGAGAGAAGAGGUAUGCCAUUGAAUGCUCAUCAUCAAUGGCUAACCUUACAACAGAAGUUAAUGGAGUACCUGAGUCAGUAAUGCCUUCUGUAUAUGUUGGCCAAUAUGUCCGCUUGUUUGAGCAAGGAGAUACAGUUAGUGUACUACCCCUUUCUGAUACUGAAUACACCAGCUAUGCUUUGUCAGAAGCUGAAAGGUUUCAAGAUUCUUAUGAGAUAAUAGCAUUGUUCAGAAAAGCUUAUGAAUCAUUUCAGAGCCUAGGUGCUACAAGAAUGGCUUCUGCCUGUAGUGGUGGAAUGGCUAUAGAAUAUUACGCAGCUGGGGAUUUUAGCAACGCAAAACAGCUUUUUGAUAGUGUUGCUGGUCUAUACCGCCAAGAGGGUUGGACCACUUUGCUUUGGGAGAACCUAGGAUACUUGAGAGAGUGCUCGAUUAAACUUAAUUCUCCAAAGGAUUUUAUCAGUUAUUCUCUAGAGAUGGCUGCAUUACCAUUAUUUUCUGGUAGUGGAGAGGAAAAUCGAGAAAACAAAAUUAAGAGUGGGCCUGCAGGUUCCCCUACCAUUUCCAGGAGAGAGAAUAUACAGCAGGAAGUUAUUAAUGUUUUGGAAAGAAAACAGUCAUCAGAAGGAACCGAUGAUGAAUUUAAUAACGCGAUGGAAGAAGUUACUCGCCUUGAUAUUGAUCAGAUAAGCCCGUUAAGAAUGGUGCUUAUUGCGUCUGUUGCUUUUCAUGAUCAAUCUGUAAAACCUGGUUCACCUCUGCUUGUCAGUGUGUCACUCUUAUCUCAUCUUCCUUCUCCAGUUGUGGUUGAUCAGCUGGAGGUUCAGUUCAAUCAAUCUGACUGUAACUUUGUGAUACAUAGUGCACAGGAAGAUUCUCCUCCUUUAGAUUCAAAUUUGCACGACCAAAUUGUUCAAGAUACUUCUUCUCUUACACUCUUCACCAACAGAUGGAUGCGGUUGACACAUGAGUUAAAAUCAGGACAGAGUGGAAAGCUAGAAUGUUUGUCUGUGAAGGCGACAAUAAACAAACACCUUGUGAUUUGCUGCCAUGCUGAAAGUCCUGCGUCCAUGGAAGACUUCCCAUUAUGGAAAUUUGAGAACCAAGUGGAGACACUGCCCACAAAGGACACUGCUCUUGCCUUUUCUGGACAGAAGCUUAUUCAAGUUGAAGAGCCAGAUGCUCAAGUUGACCUUGUCUUAAAUUCUGCUGGCCCUGCUUUAGUUGGAGAGUUAUUUACUGUACCAGUGACCAUAGAGUCAAAAGGGCAUGCAGUCCAUUCUGGUGAGCUGAAAAUUAACCUCGUUGAUGCCAGAGGUGGUGGUCUGUUGUUGAGUCCAAGGGAAGCAGAAGAUUCUGAAAGUCAUCAUGUUGAACUUCUUGGUGUCUCAACUGCGUCCGAGGAUAAAGAGUCAAAGGAAGAAGCUGAUAGCAUAAGAAAGAUCCAGUAUUCAUUUGGGGUUAUAUCUGUUCCAACGUUGAGUGUCGGUGAUUCCUGGUCAUGCAAAUUAGAAAUCAAAUGGCAUCGAGCAAAAUCAGUCAUGCUUUAUGUUUCACUUGGUUACUCCCUGGGCUCAAGUGAAGAAGAAGCAUUGCACCGGCUUAACGUCCAUAGAAGCUUGCAAAUUGAAGGGCAGAUCCCCUUAUUAAUUAGUCACCAGUUUUUGAGACCAUUUAGGCGAGAACCAUUGUUGCUAUCAGGGAUCAGAUCCUUAGGAAGUGAUGAUAAAAAAUGUUCUCUUGCUAUGAACGAGUCUAACAUGCUUAUUGUGACUGCUAGAAACUGCACUGAUGUGCCUUUGUGUUUGCAUUCAAUGACCAUUCAACCUGAUGGUGAUGGAGAGCAGCUCUGUUCAGUGCAACAGAUCAGUGGAAUUUCCAGUGGUCAUGCAGUUGUUGCUCCUAGUGAGGAAUACAAAGGAAUAUUUUCGGUCAAUCCGCGGGCUAUCAGUACAAACUUCAAUUUAGGUGAAAUUUGCCUGAAUUGGUCAAGAGAAUCAAGUCUUGGUGAGGAUCAAGAUAGGGUUAUUAUUAUGAAAGAACAAUUACCUGAGGUCAGCAUUGAGGAGUCGCCGCUUGUUGUGGGCAUGGAGUGUCCUCCCUAUGCAAUCCUUGGAAUCCCUUUCACUAUCUAUGUGAAGAUUCACAAUUCAACGUCUUUGCUUCAGGAAAUCAAGUACUCCCUUGUUGAUUCCCAGAAUUUCGUUUUUUCUGGUGCUCACAAUCAUGCUGCUUUCAUUCUGCCUAAAUCAGAGCACACUGUUAGGCAUAAGCUUGUACCGCUUGGUUCCGGCUCUCAGCAGUUGCCAAAGAUCACAGUGACUUCGGUGCGGUAUUCUGCUGCAUUGACUCCUUCAGCCUCAGCAGCGACUGUCUUUGUGUAUCCCAGUGAGCCUAAAUUCAACUUGGAAACUAACCAUUCAACAUCCGAUGAGAUCGUGAGUUGAGACCUGAGCAACCUGAAGUCAACCCACUCCUGAGUCCUGACACUUAGCUCGGCCGGGGUGCAUGCGAGGUAAGGUCUGCUACUGGAAAUACCAUCAGUUUGACCUUCAUGUUGAUGUUCAAGAAACUUGAAUCAGAUUCCUGUCGGCGAAAAGGGAUUGUCGCUGUGCAAAAGUUUUGGCAUUGUUUUUCGAGGUUUCGAUUUUGUAGUGCUUCUGGAUUAACCACAUAUCUGUAACUUAUGAUUACUUCAUUGUUUUUGGCCCAAGGGUACAACAUACACAUGAGGAUAGGCAGAUUGUAAAUCACCGUCCCACCAGUCAAGUGGGGAAUAAACCAGCUCCAUGUCUCAGUUUUUACUCUUCGAUGCUUGCCAAAUCGUCAAUUUGUCAUGGUUCUCUUGUUUCUCUGAAGUGUGAACUCUGCUGAUAACUAGGUUGACCCUACUAUCUUGCAUAUCGUUUUUCUUUCACUGGAAACGCCACUCUAUACAGGAAAAAAAAGUCACUUUAUGCUCAUGGGUCAUGAUGUUUCUCACUGGAAACACCAUUCUAUCUAUAUCUAUACAAGAAAAAAAAAGUCACUUUAGCAAUGAUGUUUUGGCGUAUAUACAGGAAAAGUCACUUUAUGAGUAAUGGCGUAUUUGAGGUGGCUGCGUGCUUCAUGAUGGCCAUGCAGGAGAAAAGCGUACUUGGCUCCUCGAGCAAGUAGCCGUCGCGUUCAGGCGGCGGCGCGCUCCAUGCCGAUCCGUCUCGGCGUCGCAUACGGCAUUAUUGCCCGUGCCUUCGGCCCUUCGCGUCCGUCUAUAAAAAACCGGGAACAUUCGCACAAUCUUUUCCCCCACUUUGUUCGCCUCGCCGUAUUUUCACAUCGCGGGCCUCUUUUUGUUUCUCUAGCGCGUCGCGGCUGGGGUCUAGGGUUUAGGCUCCCAAAAGCCAAAAAUCAAGGAGAAAUAUUCGCAGCGGCAGCGCGUCUCGAUAAAAGCCGGCAUCAACUGUUCCGUCAAAGCAGAGUCCACCCCUCCCCGCGCCGUUCUUUUUGGUUCCCCUGUCCCCGCCGCCUCCGAAACCCACCGAUGGAGGUCGUCGCCGCCGCCGCCGCCGCCGCGAAGCAGAAGACGAAGAAGCACGAGAAGCACAUACACCUCUUCUACUGCUCCGAAUGUGAGGAGCUCGCCCUCAAGGUCGCCGCCAGCUCCGACGCCAUCGAGCUCCAGUCCAUCAACUGGCGGAGCUUCGACGACGGCUUCCCGAACCUGUUCAUCAACAAGGCCCACGACAUCCGGGGGCAGCACGUGGCGUUCCUGGCCUCAUUCAGCUCGCCGGCGGUCAUAUUCGAGCAGAUCUCCGUCAUCUUCGCGCUGCCCAAGCUCUUCAUCUCCUCAUUCACGCUCGUGCUGCCCUUCUUCCCCACGGGCUCCUUCGAGCGCGUUGAGGAGGAGGGCGAUGUCGCCACCGCGUUCACCCUCGCGCGCAUCCUCUCGAUGAUCCCCAAGUCGCGCGGCGGGCCGACAAGUGUCGUCAUCUACGACAUCCACGCGCUCCAGGAGAGGUUCUACUUCGGGGACGACGUCCUGCCAUGCUUCGAGACAGGGAUCCCGCUCCUGCUGCAGCGCCUCCGCCAGCUGCCGGACGCAAAAAAUAUCACCAUUGCCUUUCCAGAUGAUGGAGCGUGGAAGCGGUUCCACAAGCUGUUGCAGCACUUUCCAAUGAUAGUCUGUAACAAGGUUCGUGAAGGUGACAAGAGAAUAGUCCGUAUAAAGGAAGGAAAUCCUGAAGGCCGUCAUGUUGUUAUUGUUGAUGAUUUAGUGCAAUCUGGGGGAACUCUUCGAGAAUGCCAGAAAGUUCUAGCUUCGCAAGGCGCUGCAAAAGUUAGUGCUUAUGUGACUCAUGCUGUGUUCCCUAAGCGGUCAUAUGAACGUUUCAUGGCGUCUAAUUCUGUUGGGCCAGGCGACCAGUUUGCUUACUUCUGGAUCACGGACUCAUGCCCACACACAGUAAAAGCUAUUGGCCAAAGACCUCCAUUUGAGGUUCUGAGCCUUGCUGGCUCAAUUGCUGAUGCUCUUCAGAUCUGAGCGUACACAGGUAGAUAUGGGCUGAUGCCCAUCACAAUCAGAUUGAACUUGUACUAUGAGAUGAGCUGCUGCUGCUUUUUCUAAAUGUAAGAGUUUGUUUCCAGUUCCUGGAAAAGCAAAUAAUGUGGAGUAAGUUAAGUACCUGAGGGUUCCGUAAACAGCACUGUGAAUUGAUAAUAAAAUCAGGCAUUGGAUACUCAGUUGUUGACA